GAUCAUGGCUCAGGAUGAACGCUAGCGGCAGGCUUAACACAUGCAAGUCGAGGGGCAGCGGGGUGUAGCAAUACACUGCCGGCGACCGGCGCACGGGUGCGUAACGCGUAUGCAACCUACCCAUAACAGGGGCAUAACACUGAGAAAUUGGUACUAAUUCCCCAUAACAUUCGAAGAGGCAUCUCUUUGGGUUAACAACGUCGGUAGU
rnacentral:rRNA from 1 species